GUCUACAGCCAUGCCACCCUGAUCUCAUCUGAUCUCAGAAGCUAAGCAGGGUCGGGCCUGGUUAGUGCUUGGAUGGGAGACCACCAAGGAAUACCAGGUGCUGUAGGCA
rnacentral:rRNA from 1 species